rnacentral:rRNA from 1 species
UACGAAGGGGGCUAGCGUUGCUCGGAUUUACUGGGCGUAAAGGGCGCGUAGGCGGACAGUUAAGUCGGGGGUGAAAGCCCGGGGCUCAACCUCGGAAUUGCCUUCGAUACUGGCUGUCUUGAGUACGGGAGAGGUGUGUGGAACUCCGAGUGUAGAGGUGAAAUUCGUAGAUAUUCGGAAGAACACCAGUGGCGAAGGCGACACACUGGCCCGUUACUGACGCUGAGGUGCGAAAGCACGGGGAUCAAACAGG